GAGUUUGAUCCUGGCUCAGAUUGAACGCUCGUGGCAGGCCUAACACAUGCAAGUCGAGCGGAAACGAGUUAUCUGAACCUUCGGGGAACGAUAACGGCGUCGAGCGGCGGACGGGUGAGUAAUGCCUAGGAAAUUGCCCUGAUGUGGGGGAUAACCAUUGGAAACGAUGGCUAAUACCGCAUGAUGCCUACGGGCCAAAGAGGGGGACCUUCGGGCCUCUCGCGUCAGGAUAUGCCUAGGUGGGAUUAGCUAGUUGGUGAGGUAAGGGCUCACCAAGGCAACGAUCCCUAGCUGGUCUGAGAGGAUGAUCAGCCACACUGGAACUGAGACACGGUCCAGACUCCUACGGGAGGCAGCAGUGGGGAAUAUUGCACAAUGGGCGCAAGCCUGAUGCAGCCAUGCCGCGUGUGUGAAGAAGGCCUUCGGGUUGUAAAGCACUUUCAGUCGUGAGGAAGGUAGUGUAGUUAAUAGCUGCAUUAUUUGACGUUAGCGACAGAAGAAGCACCGGCUAACUCCGUGCCAGCAGCCGCGGUAAUACGGAGGGUGCGAGCGUUAAUCGGAAUUACUGGGCGUAAAGCGCAUGCAGGUGGUUUGUUAAGUCAGAUGUGAAAGCCCGGGGCUCAACCUCGGAAUAGCAUUUGAAACUGGCAGACUAGAGUACUGUAGAGGGGGGUAGAAUUUCAGGUGUAGCGGUGAAAUGCGUAGAGAUCUGAAGGAAUACCGGUGGCGAAGGCGGCCCCCUGGACAGAUACUGACACUCAGAUGCGAAAGCGUGGGGAGCAAACAGGAUUAGAUACCCUGGUAGUCCACGCCGUAAACGAUGUCUACUUGGAGGUUGUGGCCUUGAGUCGUGGCUUUCGGAGCUAACGCGUUAAGUAGACCGCCUGGGGAGUACGGUCGCAAGAUUAAAACUCAAAUGAAUUGACGGGGGCCCGCACAAGCGGUGGAGCAUGUGGUUUAAUUCGAUGCAACGCGAAGAACCUUACCUACUCUUGACAUCCAGAGAACUUUCCAGAGAUGGAUUGGUGCCUUCGGGAACUCUGAGACAGGUGCUGCAUGGCUGUCGUCAGCUCGUGUUGUGAAAUGUUGGGUUAAGUCCCGCAACGAGCGCAACCCUUAUCCUUGUUUGCCAGCGAGUAAUGUCGGGAACUCCAGGGAGACUGCCGGUGAUAAACCGGAGGAAGGUGGGGACGACGUCAAGUCAUCAUGGCCCUUACGAGUAGGGCUACACACGUGCCACAAUGGCGCAUACAGAGGGCGGCCAACUUGCGAAAGUGAGCGAAUCCCAAAAAGUGCGUCGUAGUCCGGAUUGGAGUCUGCAACUCGACUCCAUGAAGUCGGAAUCGCUAGUAAUCGUGGAUCAGAAUGCCACGGUGAAUACGUUCCCGGGCCUUGUACACACCGCCCGUCACACCAUGGGAGUGGGCUGCAAAAGAAGUAGGUAGUUUAACCUUCGGGGGGACGCUUACCACUUUGUGGUUCAUGACUGGGGUGAAGUCGUAACAAGGUAACC
rnacentral:rRNA from 1 species